UUUAUGGAGAGUUUGAUCCUGGCUCAGGAUGAACGCUGGCGGCGUGCCUAAUACAUGCAAGUCGAGCGAACGGACGAGAAGCUUGCUUCUCUGAUGUUAGCGGCGGACGGGUGAGUAACACGUGGAUAACCUACCUAUAAGACUGGGAUAACUUCGGGAAACCGGAGCUAAUACCGGAUAAUAUUUUGAACCGCAUGGUUCAAAAGUGAAAGACGGUCUUGCUGUCACUUAUAGAUGGAUCCGCGCUGCAUUAGCUAGUUGGUAAGGUAACGGCUUACCAAGGCAACGAUGCAUAGCCGACCUGAGAGGGUGAUCGGCCACACUGGAACUGAGACACGGUCCAGACUCCUACGGGAGGCAGCAGUAGGGAAUCUUCCGCAAUGGGCGAAAGCCUGACGGAGCAAC
rnacentral:rRNA from 1 species